GUCCUAACUGGCCUGGGGCCUUUGGCUGGAUCUCUGAGGCCUAAUCUUCCAGAGUAGCCCUCUGGCCAUAUUUCUGCAGCUCCUUUAUAGAUGCAGAAUUACAAACCAUAUCAUCUACUGAAACUCUGAACAGUCUCAUUCAUUUUCAUACUACCUCUUCCCCAUCCAAGGCUAGAAAACAACCUGAAUAUAAAUACAGCACUGUGAGUACAAAGGAGACGCUUCAUUUAAAAACGGCUGUGGGGGAACAAUGGAUGGAAAGUUGGGUGUGACACCAAGUACAUAUUCUUCUAUCUAACUUACUCUAGAGUAAGAAGCGGAGGGCUCCAAGGACAGAACUGCAAGAUGUGUUGAGAAAAAGAAGUCAUCAGAGAUGGGAAAAAGUAGCCAGAGAAUUAUGAAGAGAAUCAACAAACGUUGGUGUCAUAAAAGCUAAAAAGUGGAGAAUUUCUAAGGAAAAAAAUGAUUAAUGACUUU
rnacentral:lncRNA from 1 species